rnacentral:rRNA from 1 species
AUUGAACGCUGGCGGCAUGCCUUACACAUGCAAGUCGAACGGCAGCACGGGAGCAAUCCUGGUGGCGAGUGGCGAACGGGUGAGUAAUGUAUCGGAACGUACCUUUCAGUGGGGGAUAACGUAGCGAAAGUUACGCUAAUACCGCAUAUUCUGUGAGCAGGAAAGCAGGGGAUCGCAAGACCUUGCGCUGAUUGAGCGGCCGAUAUCAGAUUAGCUAGUUGGUGAGGUAAAGGCUCACCAAGGCGACGAUCUGUAGCGGGUCUGAGAGGAUGAUCCGCCACACUGGAACUGAGACACGGUCCAGACUCCUACGGGAGGCAGCAGUGGGGAAUUUUGGACAAUGGGCGCAAGCCUGAUCCAGCCAUGCCGCGUGAGUGAAGAAGGCCUUCGGGUUGUAAAGCUCUUUCGGCCGGGAAGAAAUCGUGUGGGUUAAUACCCUGCAUGGAUGACGGUACCGGAAUAAGAAGCACCGGCUAACUACGUGCCAGCAGCCGCCGUAAAAC